rnacentral:misc_RNA from 1 species
AAAGUCGUAACAAGGUUUCCGUAGGUGAACCUGCGGAAGGAUCAUUAAUGAAUUUUAUUCAUUGUAUGUAUGUGAACCUCGGUUAGCACUCAUAAGCCUUUUAGUCUAAUUUAAGGAUGUCUCUUUGAGGCUCGCUUGAUUGGGCUUUAAGGUGUGCUAACCAUUGAAGAUUGAUGGACUUUGAGCCAUCAGUCAUUUUAACCAAACCCUUUAAUAUCAUUGAACUUUGACUGAUUAAACGACACUCUGAAAAGAGUGUCAAAACUUAAAUAGAGACAACUUUUAGCAAUGGAUCUCUAGGCUCUC